UACAGAGGUCUCGAGCGUUGUUCGGAUUCAUUGGGCGUAAAGGGCGCGUAGGCGGCGGGGUAAGUCUGGUGUGAAAUCUCGGAGCUCAACUCCGAAAUUGCACUGGAUACUGCUCUGCUAGAGGGCUGGAGAGGAGAUCGGAAUUCACGGUGUAGCAGUGAAAUGCGUAGAUAUCGUGAGGAAGACCAGUGGCGAAGGCGGAUCUCUGGACAGCUCCUGACGCUGAGGCGCGAAGGCUAGGGGAGCGAAACGGG
rnacentral:rRNA from 1 species